GGCGGUGUCAGUCAGUCCGGAGCACUACGUCCUCUCUGAGCUCACUUCCGCCGGCUCCAGUAGGAUCACUAUUCUCCCCCAUCUCUCUCUCUCUCUCUCUCUCUCUCUCUCUCUGCUUUUGUUCUCUCUCAUUCCCAUCCAGUGAGCGCUGCUGAAGAGAAGAGAAGAGAAGCAUCAGUCAGCUCAGAGAGGAAACCUCACACAGACUCAGAGUAGCGGACCCGUCCGUCGCAGUAGCCACAUGCAAAGCUCCGUCUGCACGCACACAGAGAGGACACGCGACACUCCGUAGUUACAUAAGUGGACUACUUCUUUUUCUUCUUCUUAUUUGGGUUUUUUGACUCUCCCCUCUUUUCCAUCUAAACCUCAAAAUGGAGAACGACGACAAAUAUCUCCCCGAGCUGCUGGCGGAGAAGGACAGCCUGGACUCGUCGUUUACUCACGCCAUGAAACUUUUAAACGCAGAAAUUGAUAGAAUCCAGAAAGGCGAGACUAAAAAGGAGGCAGAACCGUACCUGGACCUUUUCACAACGAAGAACAUCAAACUUAAGGAACGAGUGCUCAUACCUGUCAAACAGUACCCCAAGUUCAAUUUCGUGGGGAAGAUUUUGGGUCCUCAGGGCAAUACAAUCAAGCGUCUGCAGGAAGAGACCGGAGCCAAGAUCUCUGUGCUGGGCAAAGGAUCCAUGAGAGACAAAUCCAAGGAGGAGGGGCUGAGGAAAGGCGGCGAGCCCAAGUACGCCCACUUGUCUAUGGAGCUGCACGUAUUCAUCGAGGUGUUCGCCCCCGUGCCGGAGGCCUACCUGCGCAUGGCACACGCCAUGGAGGAGGUCAAGAAGUUCCUGUUUCCUGAUAUGAUGGAUGAUAUCUGCCAAGAGCAGUUCAUGGAGAUGAGCUACCUGAACGGAGGCCAGGAGCACGGAGCCAGAGGGAGGGGGGGCCCUCCGGUCAGGGGCCGCGGAGUCCCUCCUGGUGUAGCACACAGGGGUCGGGGAAUGCCACCUCGCGGUGCUCCCGCCAGGGGAGGUGUGCCCCGAGGCGGCCCAGCCAGAGGUGGCGCAGUGAGAGGCGUCCCAGGAGGCCGAGGAGGACCCCCAGCAGCACCAUCCAGGGGAGCCUCAGCACCCCGUGCCAGGCCCCCAACCGCCGGACCCCCACAGAGGAUGGCACCCCACCAGCACACCCCUAGUGCAGCUGCUGAGGGCUACGACGAAUAUGGCUACGAUGAGAGCUACACAGACACGGCCUACGAGUCAUACGACAGCUAUUACAGUCAGCCGCAGGCAGAGCCAGAAUACUACGACUACGGACACGGAGAGACCACAGAGUCGUACGAGUCAUAUGGCCAGGAUGACUGGAACGGGACCCAGCGAACUGCUGUAGGGAAGGCCCCUCCCCCCUCCAGAGGUGCCAAGACGCCUUACCGGGAGCACCCAUACCGACAGUACUGAAGCGGACUCCCCACCCUUAACGUGUCGCCCUGUCUACCACGGCAGCUCUCGCUUUAAGCAGCCCGACAAAAGACCCAGAGGCACAGCUAUCGGUCACUGAGUGCCCCGGAGACUGACAGUCUGCUGAAGUGAGACCAUACAAACCUCAGUGAAGCCGUGCACGGGAGAAGCUCAGCAUGAAGGAGGUGGUCAGACGAGGCUCUCAGGGUCGCCCUGUUGAAAGGAGUGGCCCAAGGCCCAGUUCUGUUCCUGGCAGGGGGGUGGCUGUGGUGGCCGGCCGCCAAGUGACCCACAGGAGCCAGCUGAUAGCUGAGAGGAGCUGGCUCAGACUCCCUCUGGAACAGGACUAAGACCGCAGCUGGUCAGCGAAGACUUUCAGCUCGCUGGGAAUCCAGAACAACCAGACUCUCAUUUUCUGUGGACUAUUUUCUUCUAUUUCAUGUCUAUACAUUAUCCUCGUGUAAUUAUUUUCUAACACCGAAGACACCCACUUGAAGCUGAUUGCAUGCUGCUGUACGCAGCUUCCGCAGACCACCCCCUCUUCCAACAAAUGUAAUUGUUACAGCCUAAUUCACCAUAAAAUGAGCACUCCUGUUAUAGUAGACUGUGAAAUUGCUUUUAAUUUCUAUUAACCCUUAAAUUAGACAUGAAACAAAAGUCUUUCACUUUCUGCAAGGCAAGCUGUAUUCUCCCAUUCAUUUGUGACAUCUGCAUUUCAAUUAUGUUUUUAAACAUUCUGGCUGCGUGUUAUUUAGUAUCCAUGCCUUAUUGCUGCGUGAAAUUAGACUCAGUGCUGGAGAGUUAAACAUGCCCGGAGAGAGUGGAUCACUAUCUCGCUGCGGCCGAGUUCACCGCGAACACACACACACACACGCCGCCACAUCUUGGCAUUGCACGGCCUUGUGCAGCCCUGAGGAUAUCAAAUGCUAAUGCAGCGGCCUAUUUGCAUGUACUCGCAUGUGCGCUCCCUGCAAAUGUGCAACACUUUCAUAACCAACGCUGGCUUGUUCGCAGCGCUUCGGCGUCCAAGUAUGAUAAUUCGGCGAGAUGUACCCGGGAGGAGGGCUGCAUGUGAGAAAGGGACUGGGUGAAGGCAGACAUUACUAACUUCCCUCCAUCUAUCCAUCUAUCCAUCAUGCCUCUGUUGAUUUGAUUCCCCCUCUAUGCCAUUUUCUGCCAUUAUCACUGAUGGUAUUACGGCUGCCUGUGGUGCUGAGUUACAUUUAGAGGUCAAAACUCUACUUUCCUGUAUUAAAAACAAAUUUCUCUGUCCCGACUCGCUGGUCAGAGGCAGCAUUAGCCAAGUCAGAGGCUCCAUUUAGUUUAUUGAAAAAGCCAGCAGCUUAGAGGAUAGAACAUUAGAUAUUAGGAUAGAAAGAGAUGAAACGUCAACGGGCCAUAUCCAAAACAGAUCAUUUUUCAGUCUUCAUGUGCUAUUAUGUCUAAAAUAAUGAUUUCUGUGUCUCCUAUAAUCUAAUGAAAGAUAAGUGAUGGCAUGGAAGCCAUCUCCUUUUGUUUGAAUCGAUGAGCUGUCAAGAGCGCGAGGGUGGAAGAGAAAGUAAAUGUUGCUGUGCAAUGAUCAAUAAAAGUAGACUUGAAUGUGAA